rnacentral:rRNA from 1 species
UACAGAGGGGGCAAGCGUUGUUCGGAAUUACUGGGCGUAAAGGGCGCGUAGGCGGCCUUCUAAGUCGAACGUGAAAUCCCCGGGCUCAACCCGGGAACUGCGUCCGAGACUGAAAGGCUUGAAUCCGGGAGAGGGAUGUGGAAUUCCAGGUGUAGCGGUGAAAUGCGCAGAUAUCGGGAGGAACACCAGUAGCGAAGGCGGCUCGCUGGGCCAUUCCUGACGCUGAGACGCGAAAGCAUGGGGAGCGAACAGG